UUCCAGACUCCUACGGGAGGCAGCAGUGGGGAAUAUUGCACAAUGGGGGAAACCCUGAUGCAGCGACGCCGCGUGAGUGAAGAAGUAUUUCGGUAUGUAAAGCUCUAUCAGCAGGGAAGAAGCAAGACGGUACCUGACUAAGAAGCCCCGGCUAACUACGUGCCAGCAGCCGCGGUAAUACGUAGGGGGCAAGCGUUAUCCGGAUUCACUGGGUGUAAAGGGAGCGUGGACGGCGACGCAAGUCUGGAGUGAAAGCCCGGGGCCCAACCCCGGGACUGCUCUGGAAACUGCGUCGCUGGAGUACGGGAGGGGCAGGCGGAAUUCCUGGUGUAGCGGUGAAAUGCGUAGAUAUCAGGAGGAACACCGGCGGCGAAGGCGGCCUGCUGGACCGUGACUGACGUUGAGGCUCGAGAGCGUGGGGAGCAAACAGGAUUAGAUACCCCAGUAC
rnacentral:rRNA from 1 species